UACGUAGGGGGCAAGCGUUGUCCGGAUUUAUUGGGCGUAAAGAGCGUGUAGGCGGCUUCACAGGUCCGCUGUGAAAACUCGAGGCUCAACCUCGAGCUGUCGGUGGAAACCGUGUGGCUUGAGUCCGGUAGGGGAGUGUGGAAUUCCCGGUGUAGCGGUGAAAUGCGCAGAUAUCAGGAAGAACACCUAUGGCGAAGGCAGCUCUCUGGGACGGUACUGACGCUGAGACGCGAAAGCGUGGGGAGCGAACAGG
rnacentral:rRNA from 1 species